rnacentral:piRNA from 1 species
AAAAAAAACCGAAUUUCUGCAUUUAA